rnacentral:misc_RNA from 1 species
GUGCCAUUGGCGACACCUCUGUGCUGUAUGCGCCUGUAUACCCAUCGGCCACUAGCGGUAUGUGCUGACUUCUACACUGCCUCGUUUUCUUUUUUCACCUCAACGAUCGCAGUUAUGUUACAAGCACCGCGAUAAUGAGGCCACCGGACGACGGGAGACCAUGCUCGCCCAGUUCCGCACCGGCACCUGUCGGUGCCGUGCAUUACUGCAACGGCGGGCGGCUGGCAGUGGCGGCAUGGGGUGCCGAUGGUGUGCUGCCUACUGCUGCGCCGGUACUGUGGUGCCCCCAUCCCCCGUCUGUGUUUGCUAUGAGGGCGUCCGACCCGGUGCUGUGCCCGAUAUGCUACGCUUGAUUCGCGGAUCACUCGAGGAGGGUGGGCGAAGCACACGCUGUUUCACGCUAUGGCCUUGCACGCAGUAAUGUGGUUGCGCAUGCCUCGCUCGCGCCGCGUGGGCUCCUCACCUGUCUGCUGUCUAUGGCUGCCUCGUAUGCCCUCUCAGGAGGACAGGCCGUGCGCUCUUUCUCUCUCUGCGCUGGCGCGUGCCUAUCCACGGGUCCCUCCCGCUCAACCCGCCCGCGCCUACGAGAGGCGUGCGGCCCUGCGGAAAGGGUGGAAGACCCCCGCUGCCACGAACUCACAGCAGCGUCCCGCCUGCCGCGGUGCAUGCGUGCAGGCCACCCAGUCACGCCCCCUCCCCCUCCAGACACCGAGGUUGUCGUGCGGCAGGCCUCGGCGUGCAAGGAUGCGAGCUCGGAGCACAGGCGCUGUCAUGGAGAGCCGGCAUGGCGUAUCACGCCCACGCAAGGCAUCGAGAGGUCAGCCGCGCACGCGUGAUGGACGAGAAAGGCGCGAGGAGCUCCACACCAAUGAGCGCCACAGCGCAUACGCGCGCAACAUGCGGCGUCUCGGCCGUCCAACGGGGCGGGCUGAUGGGGCGCAGGUGCUGGAAGCGCGGCGAGAGCACCCCCGAACGGCACGAUCGAGCCCCUCCGACUGCCAUGCGGAGAGUCACCGCACCAUAUUAUGGGAUGCCGCUGCUGCAAGCGACUGGAGGGGGGAGGCAUGACGUGCAGGUGGCAGGGUGCAGGGUCUCGGAGGGCGCUGACCUGAGGCCGGCCGCCUUCCUCCUCGAGCUCCUGCGGCGCACACCUCGACCACCCCUUAUCGCCCGCACGACGGACGCCACCGCCUCCGCCCUCGAGCAGGACGCUGGGCGCGGCCCGCCUGGAUCAGGGCGUGCCGUCCAGCCGAGUCUCCGUGUGGGCCGAUUGGACGGCGGGCCGGCUUGUCCUAGUCGACAAGGAUUCCGCCGCACCCCUGCGAGGGUAGGUGAGCUGUGGUUGUGUGCGUCGAUCGGCUGCCUGUGUCUGGACGAAUGAGCAGGCUGCGCAGGCGAAGAGAGUGCAGUGGGCGUUGCGGUGUGCGUGGGAGAGCGCUCUCGACUCCUCUCACUCGUUGUCUUGUGCUAUCGUGCGGCCCUCUCUUGCACACGCGCGUCGGUGUCUCUGCAACGCAGCGUCUCUGUGGGCUCUUUUGUUGUGUGUUUGCCGCUGCUAGACCUCGUUGUAGGUUGCAGCAUAGCUGACCUGCAGCUGCGUGUGUGUGUGUGUGUGUGGUUCGGGCGGACGUACCAGUGGUGCACCGGAAACAGCAGUAAGCACAUGCGCACAUCGGCUUCUUCCCCCCUUGUCACCGUCGCUUCCCUUCGCAGACGCCCAGCUGUUUAGAGUCUGUCAUUAUUCGGCCUUCGUGUCGGCGUGCCCGCACUGAUGGGCACAUACAUAGAAGUUUCCCGGCAAGCCUGACCCGGUGUCGCUGUGUGCUCUGCGUCCAUUACCUGAACGUAUGUGCUUUCUCCUGUAUCUGUGUGCGUGGGCGACAAGACUGUGACCGGCAGAGCGGCUGUUGACAAGGACAGUAGCUUCCGUGCUCUUCCGUACCUCCGGGACUUUGUGCUCCUCGUGUCCUUUUUUCCCAGAGUGCGAGGUAAGGGAGAUACCUCACUCUGUGUAUAUGUCCAUAUAGGCGUACACGCAAACAUGAGCCAGAUCAGCGCUUACACACCUUCGAUACGUCCCUCUCCCUCUAAGGGGCACGCAUAUAAAAGCAGAAGAUUAUAAAUUCAAAUCCUCUAUUGAGGCUGUUUUCGGCCGUGCACGCGUGCCUCUUAAAAC